UACAGAGGUCUCAAGCGUUGUUCGGAUUCAUUGGGCGUAAAGGGUGCGUAGGCGGCGAGGUAAGUCGGAUGUGAAAUCCCGGGGCUCAACCCCCGGAACUGCAUUCGAUACUGCCUUGCUCGAGUACUGGAGAGGAGACUGGAAUUUACGGUGUAGCAGUGAAAUGCGUAGAUAUCGUAAGGAAGACCAGUGGCGAAGGCGAGUCUCUGGACAGUUACUGACGCUGAGGCACGAAGGCCAGGGGAGCAAACGGG
rnacentral:rRNA from 1 species